rfam:Capsicum annuum cultivar Zunla-1 chromosome 6, whole genome shotgun sequence
UGGUGAUAGUGAGGGCAAUUUUUAAGCAUACCCUUAAUCUCUCCCAAGCUUUGUAGAGAUUAUCUCCUUCUUUCUGUUAAAAACUCAAGAUCUCACUCCUCAAGUG